rnacentral:lncRNA from 1 species
UUUACAGAACGCAAGAAAAAAAGAAAAAAUAAAGGGAAACCCCUCCUCUGCUAGGGUUCCAAGAUUGAAACCCCGCCGCCGCCAUGCCUUCGCUGUCCGGUGAUCGGAGCUGUGCGAAGAAGGCUCCUAUCGGCGCCUUGAAACGCGCUCAUGGGACGAGGCCAUAGAACGAAGAGACGAGGGGAAAGAGAAGAACUUCGGCCCCUCCUUGAACCCACAUCCGGCGACGGCGAAUCACCAUCGACGGCGGGCCUAGGGGCCGAUUCAGGUAACCUUCUUUUUUUCCUUUUUUUAUUUUUUAAUUACUUUUAAAUAGAUUUGAAAUAAAAGAAAAGAAAAGAAAAAUAAAAACUAUCAAAAAGAGAACGAAGAGAACAAUUUUUUUAAAAGAAGAACAACCUUUUUCAAAUCUUAGUUCUGUAUUUGAUUUUUGAUGUAUGUCUUUUACAACGAAAAAUCCCAGAAGAAGCAAUACAAUAAAACGUUCGGCCUUUUAUAGCCGGAUUACAACUUUUCUAUUUUAUUUCUCGUCGUUUCUCGUGCGUUGUUCUUUUUGCAGGUGAUGGCAGGGAGGUGUCACGCGUGAAGGAAGCCUGGCGCGCAUGCGGUGGUUGUGGCAAACGAGGAGGCUAGCGGCACACAUGCUUAGGGGAGGCAACUAGGGUUUGCUUCUGCCGAAAAUGUUAAAGUCAUAUGGGCUAGGGUUUUUUAAUUUUGGGCCCAUUUGUGAUUGGGUUAUUAUUUGUAUUUUCUGGACUAUUUGUGUUUGGAUUUUGGGCUUCCGAGUUUUGGGCCCCGGGCAAAAUUAGGUUUCUACAGAUAUUAUGAAUAAAUCAAGUACCCAACAUAUCAACUUUCGAUCUAUUACUUUAAG